rnacentral:rRNA from 1 species
GAUGAACGCUGGCGGCGUGCCUAACACAUGCAAGUCGAGCGAUUCACUUCGGUGAAGAGCGGCGGACGGGUGAGUAACGCGUGGGUAACCUGCCUCAUACACAUGGAUAACAUACCGAAAGGUAUGCUAAUACAAGAUGACAUAAGAGAUUCGCAUGAAUUUCUUAUCAAAGCUCCGGCGGUAUGAGAUGGACCCGCGUCUGAUUAGCUAGUUGGUAAGGUAACGGCUUACCAAGGCGACGAUCAGUAGCCGACCUGAGAGGGUGAUCGGCCACAUUGGAACUGAGACACGGUCCAAACUCCUACGGGAGGCAGCAGUGGGGAAUAUUGCACAAUGGGUGAAAGCCGGAUGCAGCAACGCCGCGUGAGCGAUGAAGGCCUUCGGGUCGUAAAGCUCUGUCCUCAAGGAAGAUAAUGACGGUACUUGAGGAGGAAGCCCCGGCUAACUACGUGCCAGCAGCCGCAGUAACAC